UGGGGAAUAUUGGACAAUGGGGGAAACCCUGAUCCAGCCAUGCCGCGUGCGGGAAGAAGGCCUUCGGGUUGUAAACCGCUUUUAUUCGGAAAGAAGGAGUGCGGGUUAAUACCUCGCAUGACAGACGGUACCGGAUGAAUAAGCACCGGCUAACUACGUGCCAGCAGCCGCGGUAAUACGUAGGGUGCGAGCGUUAAUCGGAAUUACUGGGCGUAAAGCGUGCGCAGGCGGUUCUGAAAGUCAGCUGUGAAAGCCCCGGGCUUAACCUGGGAAUUGCGGUUGAAACUACAGGGCUAGAAUCUGGCAGAGGGGGGUGGAAUUCCACGUGUAGCAGUGAAAUGCGUAGAGAUGUGGAGGAACACCGAUGGCGAAGGCAGCCCCCUGGGAAAGCACUGACGCUCAAGCACGAAAGCGUGGGGAGCAAAC
rnacentral:rRNA from 1 species